rnacentral:rRNA from 1 species
UACGAAGGGGGCUAGCGUUGUUCGGAAUACUGGGCGUAAAGCGCGCGCAGGCGGCUAUCCAAGUCAGUGGUGAAAGCCCGGAGCUCAACUCCGGAACUGCCAUUGAAACUGUUUAGCUUGAGGAUGAGAGAGGUGAGUGGAAUUCCCAGUGUAGAGGUGAAAUUCGUAGAUAUUGGGAAGAACACCGGUGGCGAAGGCGGCGACCUGGUCCGACACUGACGCUGAGGCGCGAAAGCGUGGGAGCAAACAGG